AUGGACAGCAGGUUAAACGAGAAUCCUGCGAGAACCUUUGAUUUGGCUCUUCAGGUUGCAUGUCCAUCAUCUGAACAUGAAGACAUCUGCCUCUGUAUUUCAAGUUUCUUGACUGCUCUCACAUGUGAAUCUCUCUACCGACUGACACAUUUCUUCCGCUUGAUGUUCUAUACUGCCCACCCCUAGUUGAAAUGUCUGUCAGGUUG
rnacentral:lncRNA from 1 species